rnacentral:rRNA from 1 species
UUUAUGGAGAGUUUGAUCCUGGCUCAGAGUGAACGCUGGCGGCGUGCCUAACACAUGCAAGUCGUGCGAGAUUUUGCAGAGUAUCGCGGAGUCUAGCGGCAAACGGGUGAGUAACACGUAGAAAACCUGCCUUAAAAUGGGGAAUAUCUCCGAGAAAUCGGAGUUAAUACCGCAUAAGACCACAGUUUGGCAAUCAAACAGGGGUCAAAGCAUUAGUGCGUUUUGAGAUGGUUCUGCGGCCUAUCAGCUAGUUGGUGAGAUAAUGGCUUACCAAGGCUAUGACGGGUAUCCGGCCUGAAAGGGUGAACGGACACAUUGGAACUGAGACACGGUCCAGACUCCUACGGGAGGCAGCAGUGGGGAAUUUUGGACAAUGGGGGAAACCCUGAUCCAGCAACGUCGCGUGGAGGAUGAAGGCCUUAGGGUUGUAAACUCCUUUUAGAGGGGAAGAAAAAAAUGACGGUACCCUCAGAAAAAGCCACGGCUAACUACGUGCCAGCAGCCGCGGUAAUACGUAGGUGGCGAGCGUUACUCGGAAUUACUAGGCGUAAAGCGUAUGUAGGCGGUUGAAUAAGUCUUUAGUGAAAUUUCUUGGCUUAACUAAGAAAGGUAUAGAGAUACUGUUUGACUUGAGUGUGGGAGAGGGAGACGGAAUUCCUGGUGUAGCGGUGGAAUGCGUAGAUAUCAGGAGGAACACCGAUGGCGAAAGCAGUCUCCUGGCCCAAUACUGACGCUAAUGUACGAAAGCUAGGGUAGCAAACAGGAUUAGAUACCCUGGUAGUCCUAGCUGUAAACGAUGUUCACUAGAUGUGGGAGGUAUCGACCCCUUCCGCGUUGACGCUAACGCAUUAAGUGAACCGCCUGGGGAGUACGGCCGCAAGGCUGAAACUCAAAGGAAUUGACGGGGGCCCGCACAAGCGGUGGAGUAUGUGGUUUAAUUCGACGCAACGCGAAAAACCUUACCUGGGCUUGAACUACUAAUGGUAAAAACCGGAAACGGCAAUGACCCGUAAGGGAGUUAGCAGAGGUGCUGCAUGGCUGUCGUCAGCUCGUGUCGUGAGAUGUUGGGUUAAGUCCCGCAACGAGCGCAACCCUUAUCCCAAGUUACCUGUAGCGAUACAGGGUCUCUGAGGAAAUUGCCAUUGAUAAAAUGGAGGAAGGUGGGGACGACGUCAAGUCAUCAUGGCCUUUAUGUCCAGGGCUACACACGUACUACAAUGGUUGGUACAGAGGGCAGCGAUAUUGUAAAAUGGAGCAAAUCCCUAAAAGCCAACCUCAGUUCAGAUUGUGGGCUGCAAUUCGCCCACAUGAAGCAGGAAUCGCUAGUAAUCGCAGAUCAGCAAGCUGCGGUGAAUACGUUCCCGGGCCUUGUACACACCGCCCGUCACACCACGAAAGUCGGUUGUAACAGAAGUCGUUGGGCUAACCGUAAGGAGGCAGACGCCUAAGUUAUGGUCGGUGAUUGGGGUGAAGUCGUAACAAGGUAGCCGUACGAGAACGUGCGGCUGGAUCACCUCCUUU